GGAAGCGGAUAGGGGCUGGUGUCCCUGCUGGACUUCAAAUCCAGUUGUCCCGGUCGGUGCCGGGAUGGUAGGUUCGAUUCCUACACGCUUCCGCCA
rnacentral:tRNA from 2 species